rnacentral:rRNA from 1 species
ACCAAGUCUACGAUCUAUAGCUGGUUUUAGAGGAUGAUCAGCAACACUGGGACUGAGACACGGCCCAGACUCCUACGGGAGGCAGCAGUGGGGAAUCUUAGACAAUGGGCGCAAGCCUGAUCUAGCCAUGCCGCGUGUGUGAUGAAGGUCUUAGGAUCGUAAAGCACUUUUCGCCAGGGAUGAUAAUGACAGUACCUGGUAAAG